AAAGAUAGAGGUCAGUCACCCCUCCCCACUGGGACCCUAUUCCUCCCCCCCUUCCUGGGGCUUCUCCAGUGCAUUCUGCUGUGUUUGCUGUGGCCUCACUCCAGUAGAGCUGGCUCCUUGCUGUGUCUUCAGGGCUUUGUGUUUUCUCCAUCCUUUUUUCAUUGUUUUCUGAGAUUCCUCUCAAAUCUACUGUCUUAGUGGGUAUGUUGUUUUACUUUCCCUUUUAAAGCUCUAUCUUCUCCAUUUUCCCUUCACAUUCUCACUCUAAUUCUGCAUAAUUGACUAUUUUGGUGAAUAUUUCUGUCUUCUGUGUUAAAAUCCUUGCCAACAACUACCUCCAGACAGUGUUCUGCUCUAGUCUUCAUCUUCUUUCUGUCUCUGCUAGUCUCUGAAGACCCACAUUUGUUUUUUCCUGGGGUGUUGGGGACCAGGUUGGUGAUGCCAGUUGGUUUGAGGGUGGCUCCCAAGGCCAAAGGGCAGAAGACCAUGGCAUGGUACUGUGGGAGCUGCAGGGAGGCUCUGGGGUGCACUGUGGUUGGUGGGUGUCAGAGGAAAGGUUGAACAAACUGUCAAAGGUGGAAAUGUAUAUGAUCUUAGCCGCAGAUAGGUGUAAAAAAGAGAAAACAGGCCAGAGACCCCAUUUUCUCAAACCUCAGAAUCUGUGCUGGGAUAGUAGAGUAAAGAGCACAUCUGAAAAAUACCCUAACACAUCUAUCACCACCCUUGGGAGGAGGCAGACAGAGGACCUGAGCAAGGUGACCCCACCCACGGUCACCGUGUUUGAGCCAUCCGAAGCAGAGAUCAACCGCACCAGCAAGGCCACACUGGUGUGCCUGGCCACGGGCUUCUACCCCGACCACGUGGAGCUGAGCUGGUGGGUGAACAGGAAGGAGGUGCACAGUGGGGUCAGCACGGACCCUCAGCCCUACAGCGAGAAGCCCGACAACUCCAGCUACUUCCUGAGCAGCCGCCUGAGGGUCUCGGCUGCCUUCUGGCACAACCCCCGCAACCACUUCCGCUGCCAGGUCCAGUUCUUUGGGCUCACAAAGGAAGACAACUGGACCCUGACCAGGCCCAAACCCAUCACCCAGAACAUCAGUGCUUCGGCCUGGGGCAGAGCAGACUGUGGCCUCACCUCAGCAUCCUACCAGCAAGGGGUCCUGUCUGCCACCAUCCUGUAUGAGAUCCUGCUGGGAAAGGCCACCCUGUAUGCUGUGCUGGUCAGCACCCUUGUGCUGAUGGCCAUGGUCAAGAGGAAGGAUUCCUGAAGUCAGCUCGAGAUGGAUCCAGGAGCGUCUGACCCAUAGUGGGAUUAACAUGGACUCUCGUUUUGCUAAUGCUUCUAUGCUAUUCUCAUCUCUCUACUCAUCCCCAAAUCUACCCCAUGUGCACACAUACCUGCAUAAUCAGACCCCAAUCUUCCUAAGCUAAGAGGAUCCUGGCACAUUUAUGUCACUGAACCAAUAAAAAUGUCUUGGUUUGCUUGA